UCCGUAGGCGGGCAAUUAAGUCAGAGGUGAAAUCCCACAGCUCAACUGUGGAACUGCCUUUGAUACUGGUUGUCUUGAGUUAUAGUGAAGUAGAUAGAAUAUGUAGUGUAGCGGUGAAAUGCAUAGAUAUUACAUAGAAUAUCGAUUGCGAAGGCAGUCUACUAACUGUAUACUGACGCUAAUGGACGAAAGCGUGGGGAGCGAACAGGAUUAGAUACCCUGGUAGUCC
rnacentral:rRNA from 1 species